ensembl:misc_RNA Metazoa_SRP Metazoan signal recognition particle RNA
GCCAGGCGUGGUGGCGCACAUCUGUAUUCUCAGCUACUCAGGAGGCUGAGGUGGGAGACUGGCUUGAACCCAGGAGGUUGAGGCUGCAGUGAAUCAUGAUUGCGCCACUGCACUCCAGCCUGGGUAACAGAGCAAGAUCCUGUCUCUU